rnacentral:lncRNA from 7 species
AGCGAAAUUCAAACAGAAUUAAACUAAAGGAUAAACAGAGUAAAAUCUACUAAAGUAACACAAAAAAUGGAGUAACACAAAAAAUGGAAUUUCAUCAACAUCUGGAUUUUUUGUAUAUAUAUUAUUUAUUUUUAUGCUUUGUAUCUAGCAAAAUUGUAAGGUAAAACGACAUAAUAGACCCUGGAUUCCCCAUUUUAUUCGGAGAAAAAGAGAAAUUCUUGUUCAUAGAACAUCGAUAGGAAAAAAAACCGACUAUCGGAUUUGAACCGAUGACCCUCGCAUUACAAAUGCGAUGCUCUAACCUCUAAGCUAAGUGGGCUUACAUAACAGAAAUAGUGUAACAAAUAAAAAUAUAUAUAGGGAAUCUGUAAAAUGUCAGAUCUUAAUUAUUAAUCUUAGUUAUUAACUAGUUCUAAAUUGGAAGUUCCACUUAGAUAGAAAAAAAAUACUAGAAUUUCAUAAAGAUAAAGUUAGCUUGAUAUGCUUAACUAAAUGAUAUUCUUAAAUAGGAUUAUAGAAUUUAUUGAACUUUCUUUUUAUUUCUCUAAUUCACAAAUGGAUUUUUUUUAAUAGAAUCUAUUCCAAAUUCUAUAUUGAAUUUGAUUUCAGAUAUUUUCAAUUUGAUAUGGCUCGGAGGAAUAAUCUAAUACAUAG